GGAUGAAGAACGCAGCGAAAUGCGAUAAGUAAUGUGAAUUGCAGAAUUCAGUGAAUCAUCGAAUCUUUGAACGCACAUUGCGCCCGCUAGUACUCUAGCGGGCAUGCCUGUUCGAGCGUCAUUUCAACCCUCAAGCCCUGCUUGGUGUUGGGGCCCUACGGCUGCCGUAGGCCCUGAAAGGAAGUGGCGGGCUCGCUACAACUCCGAGCGUAGUAAUUCAUUAUCUCGCUUAGGGUGUUGUGCGGUGCUCCAGCCGUUAAAGACCAUCUUUAACUCAAGGUUGACCUCGGAUCAGGUAGGAAUACCCGCUGAACUUAAGCAUAUCAAUAAGCGGAGGA
rnacentral:misc_RNA from 1 species